rnacentral:misc_RNA from 1 species
AACCUAGCACACCUGCGGUGUGUACCUGCGGAAGGAUCAUUACCUAGAGUUGUAGGCUUUGCCUGCUAUCUCUUACCCAUGUCUUUUGAGUACCUUACGUUUCCUCAGUGGGCUCGCCCACCGAUUGGACAAAUUUAAACCCUUUGCAGUUGAAAUCAGCGUCUGAAAAAACUUAAUAGUUACAACUUUCAACAAUGGAUCU